UUCAGGUUCUGCCUGAAGACUCCAGACUGAUAAGGAUGGUACCCAGGGUUACCUGGCCACAGGGCUCAGCAGUCCAGCAUCCCUAAAGUAUCUUGGUGGGCAUUGCUCUCUGUCCCAGUUGUGGGAAUGGAGAAUUUUCUUCUUGGCUAGUGAUUUGUAUAUAAUAGCUGAGCAAACAUCACGCAUCAGGAGCCUGUGCUAUAAAAAGAGUACGGCACAAACAGGGUUUGGUGGUCAGCCAGAAAAUUCCAAACUGUCUUGCUGCCUCCUGCUAGGGUGGGUAUCAGAUGAGUCUCCCUGGUGUCCUCAGCUUGCCGCUGGUUGGCCUCCCUUGAGGAUCCAGUCACAAGGUCAUGGUGGAGAGUGAUUCUGCUUAACUUGGCAUUAGCAGUAUACAUUCUCACAGUUCUGAGUGUGCCGUUCUGCGUAGGUAUGGAAGUACAGCUCACUGGAGCUCCAUGGAUCUCAAAGACUGUGCGAAUCUUCACCCAAAACUGGCUGCAAUGUUUCUCAUUCUGAGAUACAGCAUGAAACACAAGACAGCAGCGAGUAUCUAUUUUUGGAGCAACUAAGUCUUCUUAACAGGAAAACUAAUGAUUAAGUCACUUGCUGUUCAUAGAACUUUGAACCUUGAAUUGAAAGAGAAAGGGGCUUCUCCUGUCUGCCAUCAUCAUGACCAGAUCCAUGGAGGUGGACACGUUACCAAUCUGAUCUGCAUCUUGCCCCAGAUAGUGACACUAUGAUGGCUAACAUCUUUGGUUCCAGGGCCAGUCUUUCUUUCCUGUGAUUCAUUCCAGGCCGCCUCAUCUCAAAGACUCUGGACUGUGAAUGCCAGCUGGCAGGUGCCCCAUCUCAUUCCAUGUAGAAAAUUAAGACUUCAGCCCUCACUUUUCUCCGGUUGGCAUAGGUCACUUUUUAUUUUUAUGGACUUAUUUGGGUUUUCAUUUGUUGAGUCCCAUUUAAUUGUAUUCUGUGUGUCCCCUGAAGACAUUUAUUGUUUCUUUUUCUUGCUGGUGACACUCCAGGGUGAUAAGUUAAGAGGAUUUACUUUAGCUCACAGUCAAGCAAGCUGAAGGUUGAGGGAGCUUAUGUCUUGAUGUCCUUUUUCUUAGUAGAGUCCCGAAGGUGACACAGGGCAUCACAGGAGACAGGUUAUGCAUCUGUAUACAUGCUUGCAAAUUUUAUGUGCUCUCUCUCUCUCUCUCUCUCUCUCUCUCUCUCUCUCUCUCUCUCUCUCUCUCUCCUGUGUCAUUCAUUCAAAGACAGAGGUAGGUUCCAUGCUGAUGGUGCUAUUGGGUCCUAAUCAACUCUCCAAGAUGAUUGUUUAGUUGUUAAAUCACCCUUUAGACACCAUAGUUGAAUAUGGUUCACCUCGGUACUCAACUAUGAGUACCAAGAGAAGGGCAUGUCUAGUUUACCAUGGGAUUCCUUGGGUGAUGUUCUGGUUACAGCCAGAUGAGAGCAGAGCAUGAAUGUGUUCCCUGAAGCCAAGAGUGCUUCCUCUGCCUUCUCUCUGCCUGGACCUCAGCUCCUGUCUUACCACAAACGGAGACAUGGAUCACACCAUGGGCUCAGCUUAAUCCUUAUGGAAACAAGAGAGCAGCUGAAGUCCUCAAGGUCAAGCUAUCCACUGAAUACCUGUGUUCAAAGGCAGGCAGCACAGCCAGGGAAGGCUUUGAGCUGUGAGAGUUGUACCCAAACACAUUGUCAUACCCAAGCCAGGUUUAUGCCUCACCAUGUGCAGACGUCUGCGAAUAAUGUUUAGCAGAUGCCUUAGACUAGCUCUGGGGACUUUUCUGUCUCUGGUGGACUUUGAAUUAGAAGCAGUUCCAAUGCCUGUCCUCCUCAAGUGGAAUCGAUAAAAUCUGUUAAUCAUCAGUUUUGCUGUAAACCUUGAGAAACUUUUAAACUUUGGGAAGGCAGGCCUUGGAUUUGAACUUUCUAAUAAUUAGACAUGGCAUUUAUAUACAGAUCCUUUUUUUAGUUGCUAAUUUUUAAAUCUUUAUUGUAUCCAUAUAGACUUUGAGAGUCCUGUCUGUAAAUCCCAUUCCAUCAGACUGCAGUCUGACACCUGUGAGGAAGUAUCCAGGUGAGCUGUGAAAAGCUGCUUUCUAGGUGACAGAUGUCCACAUUCUUCAAAGCCCCACAUUCUUAAUCUUGUUCCUUGGUUAACCAGAAAAAUCCAGUUCUAGGUGACCUUUGUACAAGCCAUGUCUAAUAAGCAACUGGAGUUUUUUUUUCUUUUAUUUUCCCACUGGUCCAAUUAUAUUAGUUAUUUUCAGCUACAAGUGAAAGAUUUAGAUCCAGACAGCUUAUUCAUGCUAUCUUGGGCACAAGGACUAACUCACUCCCAGGACAGGGAAUUGAAUGCGUCAAUGCUUUCACCAAGGAUCUGUGGUCUUUGUCGUCAUGGUUAGCCUGUGAGAAUGUCUCGCAGCCACAAUAUGGUUCAAGCAUUCCACCUAGACACAGAAAAGGGAUCUUUUCUGUUAUCUCCAACAAGGCAACAUUUCCUAAACUGUAUAAAUAUAAAGGAAACAUUUGCUUUUAAAAGAAGCCCUAGGUGGUUUGUGGGCCAGAACAUGUCAUAACUGUGCCCAUUAUUUUCUGUGAUUAGGUUGAGGCAAUUGGGCUUUAUUCCCUGACUCUGAUGGUGAAUAAGAUAUGGUUUGGAAUGGAGAAAUGGGUCAGCAGUUAAAAGCAGUAAUGCUAUUCCACAUGCUCCAGAUUUAGUACCUAGCACCCAUGUCACAACUCAAAAGCUAGCUGCAACUCCAUUUUAGGGAAUCCAAGGCCUACUUCUGGCUUCCUCAAGCAUCAGACAGAUAUGUGGUGAUAUCUGCAUAUAUAUAGGCAAACACUCAUAC
rnacentral:lncRNA from 1 species